CUAACAGUAAAGGGCAACUCAUUACCAAUAGGGAUGAGCUUUGUAUUUCUCCUUCUGCCGCUGUUAGGAUUAGUUAGCCAAUCGGGAUCACUGUUGUUGCUCUUGUCACAAGAGGAUUACAGCUACACGCGUGGAGACAACUGGCUAUUGAAAAGCUGUCUUAAUUUCUAAAGGAGACAUGGAUGAAAAGAAUUCAACCAGCCAAAGAGAAAAUCUUGCAGAUCAAGUCAUGCAGAAUCCACAAGCUUUGGCAGCUCUUCAAGAACGAUUAGAAAAUGUCUCUCGCACACCUUCCAGUUACAUUGAAAC